GAUGAACGCUGGCGGCGUGCCUAAUACAUGCAAGUCGAGCGAACGGACGAGAAGCUUGCUUUUCUGAUGUUAGCGGCGGACGGGUGAGUAACACGUGGAUAACCUACCUAUAAGACUGGUAUAACUUCGGGAAACCGGAGCUAAUACCGGAUAAUAUUUUGAACCGCAUGGUUCAAAAGUGAAAGACGGUCUUGCUGUCACUUAUAGAUGGAUCCGCGCUGCAUUAGCUAGUUGGUAAGGUAACGGCUUACCAAGGCAACGAUGCAUAGCCGACCUGAGAGGGUGAUCGGCCACACUGGAACUGAGACACGGUCCAGACUCCUACGGGAGGCAGCAGUAGGGAAUCUUCCGCAAUGGGCGAAAGCCUGACGGAGCAACGCCGCGUGAGUGAUGAAGGUCUUCGGAUCGUAAAACUCUGUUAUUAGGGAAGAACAUAUGUGUAAGUAACUGUGCACAUCUUGACGGUACCUAAUCAGAAAGCCACGGCUAACUACGUG
rnacentral:rRNA from 1 species